UUUUUUUUUUUUUUUUUUUUUGCGGGGGAGAGGCCUGCACAUGAGGCAUGUUCCCUGGCCAGGGAACAAAACUGAGCCACAGUAGCAACCCAAGCCACUGUAGCAAUGCCAGAUCCUUAACUUGCUAAAACACAUGGGAACUACUCAUACAAAUUUUUAAGUUACUUGUUCUACUUCUGUGAAAAAUGCCAUUGGUAUUUUGAUAGGGAUUGCACUGCCUCUGUACAUUGCCUUGGUUAGUAUGGUGAUUUUAACAUUAAUUCUUCCAGUCCCUGAACACAGCAUAUCUUUUCAUCUGUUUGUGUUAUCUUCAAUUUCCUUCAUCAGUGUCUUAUGGUUCACCAGUACAUGUCUUUUCCUUUCUUAGGUAGAUUUAUUUCUAGGUAUAUUCUUUCUGUUGGGAGAGUAAAGGGAAUUGUUUCCUUAAUUUCUCUAAUAUUUCAUUGUUACUACAUAGACUGCAACAAAUUUCUGUGUAUUAAUUUUGUAUUCUGCAACUUUACUGAGUUCAUUCAUGAGCUCUAGUAAUUUUUUGGUAAUGUCUUUAGGAUUUUCUGUGUAUAUUAUACCACCUGCAGAGUGUGACAGUUUUACUUUUUCCUUCCAAUUUUGAAUUUGGAUUCAUUUAUAAUUUCUCAUCUGGUUGCUGUGGCUAGGACUUCUAGUACUCUGUUGAAUCAAAGUGGCAAAAGUGGGCACUCUUAUCUUGUUCCUGAUCUUAGAGGGAACGCUUUUAGUUGCUCACUGUUGAGUAUGUUAGCUAUGGAACUGGCAUAUAUGGCCUUUAUUAUUGUUAUGUUCCAUCUAUACUCACUUUCUGGAGACUUAUCACAAAUGCAUAUUAAAUUUUAUCAAAAGCUUAUUCUGCAUCUAUUGUGAUGAUCAUAUGGUUUUUAUUCUGCAAUCUGUUACUGUGGUGUUAUCGCUGAUUGAUUUGUGGAUACUGAUCCAUCCUUGCACCUUUGGGAUAAACUCCACUUGAUCAUGGCAUAUGAUCCUUUUAAUGUGUUGCUGGAUUUGAUUUGUUAAUAUUGUGUUGAGAAUUUUUGCAUCUAUAUCCAUUAUUGAUGUUGGCCUGUAAUUUUCUUUUUUUUGUGUAGUAUCUUUGUCUGGUUUUUGGAUCAGAGUGAUGUCAGCCUCACAUAAUGACUGGAAGCAUUCAUUCCUCUGCAAUUUUUUUGAAUAGCUUGAAAAAGAUCGGUGUUAAUCUAAAUGUUUCAUAGAAUUUACCUGUGAAGCCAUCUGGUCCCGGACUUUUAUUCAUUAGGAGUUUUUCAGGUUUUGUUUUUAUUGUCGAUUUCAUUUUAAAGAAUCUCUCUACAGGAGUUCCCGUCAUGGCUCAGUGGUUAACAAAUCUGACUAGGAACCAUGAGGUUCUGGGUUUGAUCCCUGGCCUUGCUCAGUGGGUUAAGGAUCCAGCAUUGCCGUGAGCUGUGGUGUAGAUUGCAGACACUGCUCAGAUCCGGAUCUGGUGUUGUUAUGGCUCUGAUGUAGGCUGGCGGCUGUAGCUCCGAUUAGACCCCUAGCCUGGGAACCUCCAUAAGCCGCGGGUACAGCCCUAGAAAAGACAAAAAAAUAAAAAAUAAAAAAAUAAUCUCUCUACAUAUUGUGUUACACAAUUGGCUUUUCCCCCAUUGAUUAUUAUGUCAUGAAUAUCUACUAGAUUAAAACCUUCUCCACCAUCUCUGUUAAUGUCUACACAGUAUUACAAUCAUGGGCAUAGGGAAAAACUGAGUUAAUUCCCUCUUUGGAAAGUUAAAGUUGCUUCUAAUCUAACAACACUGAAAUAAAUAUUCUUACUGAUAAAUAUAAAUCUCUAUACACAUUUUUGAUAUGUGAGCAUAACCUAAGGUUUUAAAAACAGGGCAACAGUUACAGUUGCUUCAACACUCAAAUGUCUUCAUUUGUUUCAGAAAGACUGUCCUAACUAGUUUUGAACAUUUAAAGAAGCCUUGGGGUGACUGUUUCCUAAUCUUAACUUUUACCAACUCAGAUACUGUCUUAGUCCAUUUGGGAUAUUAUAAUGCAAUACACAGAAUGGGUGGCUUAAAUAACAUUUAUUUCUCAUAGUUCUGAAGGUAGGAAGUCCAAGCUCAAGGUACCAAAAGAUUCAGUGUCUGGUGCAGCCUGCUGCCUGCUUCAUAGAUGGCCGUCCUCUCGCUGUGCCCUCAUAUGGCAGAAGGGGGCAAGGAAGCUCUCCAGGAUCUUUUUUAUAAGGGCACUAAUCUCAUUUACAAGAGUGCCACACACGUGACCCAAUCACCUCCCAAGGGCCCCACCUCCAAAUAUCAUGGAAUUAGGGGUUAGGUUUCAACCUAUGAAUUUUGGGAAGGGACACAAACAUUCAGCUUACAGUAGAUGCUUUGGUUUAUGUUAUGAUAAAAAAAUCAUCAAGUCAAUGUCUUGGAUCCGUGUAUCCCCAUUCACUAUUCCCAUACAAAUUUGGUUAAUACUCCUCCCCAGCCUCCAGCCUCCUUCCUUAUAUUUCUAAUAUUAUGAUUCAGUAGGGACUUGAGUACAAAUUCAGGCUAAAUUAUUUAUCAUAAGGUCCUAUGCACCUCUGAACCUAGGAUUUAAUCUCUUUAAAAUUUGUUGUCCUCAUCUGUCAACUGGAAAUUAUAACAACUUCCAACUUACCUGUUUCUUGCAAAGAGUAAAUAAGCUAAAGCAUGAAAAGCACUCAAGACAGGGUCUGGCACAAGUACUAUACAGUAGAUGAUAGAUAUGAUUACUGCUGCUAUUUUGCUUAGGCUAGAAUUUAUCGAGCACCUGGCAUGUCCCAGGCCUAAGGAGUAAAACUUUGCACCUGACACUCUUUCUGCCCUCACACUAAGUAUGUGCUAAUGAAGAUACACAUCUAACUCAGUUACAAUAUAGUAUAAUGAGUGGUAUGUAGAAUUGGGCAAGAGCUAUGGAUGUAAAGAGGAAGACAAUUCAGCACAAACAUGUGGCAAGGGAAAUUUCUCAGAAGAAAUGACAGUUCAGGUGCAGGAUGGUUAACAUGAAGAGGAAAGCAGCACUGGAGUUCCCGUCGUGGCUCAGUGAUAACGAAUCCAAAUAGCAUCCAUGAGGACACGGUUCAAUCUUUGGCCUUGCUCAGGACUGAACCUGCGUCCGUCCUCAAAGAUACUAGUGGGGUUCAUUACCGCUGAGCCACAACAGGAACUCCAGCUUUUCACCUUCUUGAAGGGUUAUCAGAGAUACCUGGUUCCUUCAUAUUCCACAUGAUUAGCUUAGGACCUUCUACUUUGGGCUCCCAGUACUUAGUGCUAUACUCUAUUAUCCAUACUUCUUAAAUUAUAAAAAAAGGAACAU
rnacentral:lncRNA from 1 species